rnacentral:rRNA from 1 species
GACGAACGCUGGCGGCGUGCUUAACACAUGCAAGUCGAACGAAGUGGCGAACGGGUGAGUAAGGCGUAAUCAACCUGCCCUUCAGCGGGUGACAACAGUAGGAAACGACUGCUAAUACCGCAUACGGAAGGUGGGGCUGGCGUCGGUUUAGCAAGGUGGCGGGGUAACGGCCCACCAAGGCGAUGAUCAGUAGCCGGUCUGGAGGGGUGAACGGCCACAUUGGGACCGGGGCCACGCCCAGACUCCUUCGGGAGGCAACAGUGGGGAAUCUUCCGCAAUGGACGAAAGUCUGGCGGAGCAAAGCCGGGGGAGUGAUGACGGCCUUCGGGUUGGAAAGCUCUGUUAAUCGGGGAGCGGUACCGAAAUAGAAAGCCACGGCUAACUACGUGCCAGCAGCCGCGGUAAUAC